CCUACGGGAGGCAGCAGUGGGGAAUCUUGGACAAUGGGCGCAAGCCUGGUCCAGCCAUGCCGCGUGAGUGAUGAAGGCCCUAGGGUCGUAAAGCUCUUUCGCCAGGGAUGAUAAUGACAGUACCUGGUAAAGAAACCCCGGCUAACUCCGUGCCAGUAGCCGCGGUAAUACGGAGGGGGUUAGCGUUGUUCGGAAUUACUGGGCGUAAAGCGUACGUAGGCGGAUUAGUCAGUCAGAGGUGAAAUCCCAGGGCUCAACCCUGGAACUGCCUUUGAUACUGCUAGUCUUGAGUUCGAGAGAGGUGAGUGGAAUUCCGAGUGUAGAGGUGAAAUUCGUAGAUAUUCGGAGGAACACCAGUGGCGAAGGCGGCUCACUGGCUCGAUACUGACGCUGAGGUACGAAAGUGUGGGGAGCAAACAGGAUUAGAUACCCUGGUAGUCCACACCGUAAACGAUGAAUGCCAGACGUCGGGUAGCAUGCUUUCGGUGUCACACCUAACGGAUUAAGCAUUCCGCCUGGGGAGUACGGUCGCAAGAUUAAAACUCAAAAGAAUUGACGG
rnacentral:rRNA from 1 species